AUACGGGAGGCAGCAGUGGGGAAUCUUGCGCAAUGGGCGAAAGCCUGACGCAGCAACGCCGCGUGGGUGAUGAAGGUCUUCGGAUCGUAAAGCCCUGUCGGAGGGGAAGAUGUGCUUGCAUGCUAACAGUAUGCAGGCGUGACGGUACCCUCAAAGGAAGCACCGGCUAACUCUGUGCCAGCAGCCGCGGUAAUACAGAGGGUGCAAGCGUUGUUCGGAAUUAUUGGGCGUAAAGGGAGUGUAGGCGGUUUGUUAAGUCUUCUGUGAAAUCUACGGGCUAAACCUGUAACGUGCAGAGGAAACUGGCAGACUUGAGUGUCGGAGAGGAUAGGGGAAUACCCAGUGUAGAGGUGAAAUUCGUAGAGAUUGGGUGGAACACCAGUGGCGAAGGCGCCUAUCUGGCUGACAACUGACGCUGAGACUCGAAAGCAUGGGGAGCAAACAGGAUUAGAUACCCCCGUAC
rnacentral:rRNA from 1 species